UUGACUUCUCAGACGGACGAUCCCUGAAGCCAGAGCAGCUGGUGAGGCACGGACGAUCCCACCUUCACCAGCUCUCCCGUGAAGUUGACAGGAGGCACCCAAGGGAAGGCCAGAUCCGUGAAAGAGAAGCUCCAGGCGAGCGUCUCGCAGCGCCAGCCCCGCGACUGCAAUCCCUACGCCACCUUACCUCGCGCCAGCAGCGUCAUCUCCACGGCAGAAGGAACCACCCGAAGGACAAGCAUUCAUGAUUUCUUGUCUAAGGACAGUAGGCAGCCUGUGUCAGUGGAUCCAGCACCAGCCACCGCUGACAGGAGCGUUCCAUCGGCCUCUAAUGUGGAAGCUAUCCCAGAAAGCAGAAAUUCAAAAAGCAGGUCUAGGGAGCAACAAAGCUCCUAAUUCUAUUACCCACUACCUGAGCUGUGGGCCAAGUGAGAGAAAAGUGUCCUUCAGUAUCUCAGUAUGAAGCCUUUUUAUCUGAAGUAACAAGACAGCGACUGUAGGAAUCAGUAAUAAGAAUUAAGGGAAUUUUUUACCUUCUUCGUGACUAGAGCAGGCAAGAAAUAAAAACCUACCUACCUUCCUCCUUCCUUCCUUGAAUCAAGGAGCUCUACUGGAGUCUGCUGCCGGAAACUUGUAGAUGGUCUUAGGAAUUAUUGCACAUUGCACUGUUAAGAUCUACUGAAUAAAGGACAGUUCUCAUCUCCCUAAGGACCAAGGAUUUUAAGGUCUCAAGAAUUUACUCCAGGGGAAAAACAA